UUUGACUGGGGCGGUCUCCUCCUAAAGAGUAACGGAGGAGCACGAAGGUUGGCUAAUCCUGGUCGGACAUCAGGAGGUUAGUGCAAUGGCAUAAGCCAGCUUGACUGCGAGCGUGACGGCGCGAGCAGGUGCGAAAGCAGGUCAUAGUGAUCCGGUGGUUCUGAAUGGAAGGGCCAUCGCUCAACGGAUAAAAGGUACUCCGGGGAUAACAGGCUGAUACCGCCCAAGAGUUCAUAUCGACGGCGGUGUUUGGCACCUCGAUGUCGGCUCAUCACAUCCUGGGGCUGAAGUAGGUCCCAAGGGUAUGGCUGUUCGCCAUUUAAAGUGGUACGCGAGCUGGGUUUAGAACGUCGUGAGACAGUUCGGUCCCUAUCUGCCGUGGGCGCUGGAGAACUGAGGGGGGCUGCUCCUAGUACGAGAGGACCGGAGUGGACGCAUCACUGGUGUUCGGGUUGUCAUGCCAAUGGCACUGCCCGGUAGCUAAAUGCGGAAGAGAUAAGUGCUGAAAGCAUCUAAGCACGAAACUUGCCCCGAGAUGAGUUCUCCCUGACUCCUUGAGAGUCCUGAAGGAACGUUGAAGACGACGACGUUGAUAGGCCGGGUGUGUAAGCGCAGCGAUGCGUUGAGCUA
rnacentral:rRNA from 1 species